rnacentral:rRNA from 1 species
UACAGAGGGUGCGAGCGUUAAUCGGAAUUACUGGGUGUAAAGGGCGCGUAGGCGGUGUUAUGUGUGUGAUGUGAAAGCCCCGGGCUUAACCUGGGAAGUGCAUCGCAAACUAUAAUACUGGAGUAGAUGAGAGGGUGGCGGAAUUUCCGGUGUAGCGGUGAAAUGCGUAGAGAUCGGAAGGAACACCAGUGGCGAAAGCGGCUUCCUGGUCCAGCACCGACGUUCAGGCACGAAAGCGUGGGGAGCAAACAGG